CGUGAGGAACCUGCCUUUCAGAGGGGGACAACAGUUGGAAACGACUGCUAAUACCGCAUAACACAUAGGUGUCGCAUGGCAUUUAUGUCAAAGAUUUAUCGCUGAAAGAUGGCCUCGCGUCUGAUUAGCUAGUUGGUGAGGUAACGGCUCACCAAGGCGACGAUCAGUAGCCGGACUGAGAGGUUGGCCGGCCACAUUGGGACUGAGAUACGGCCCAGACUCCUACGGGAGGCAGCAG
rnacentral:rRNA from 1 species